rnacentral:rRNA from 1 species
UGGGGAAUAUUGCGCAAUGGGGGGAACCCUGACGCAGCCAUGCCGCGUGAAUGAAGAAGGCCUUCGGGUUGUAAAGUUCUUUCGGUAUUGAGGAAGGUUGAUGUGUUAAUAGUACAUCAAAUUGACGUUAAAUACAGAAGAAGCACCGGCUAACUCCGUGCCAGCAGCCGCGGUAAUACGGAGGGUGCGAGCGUUAAUCGGAAUAACUGGGCGUAAAGGGCACGCAGGCGGUUAUUUAAGUGAGGUGUGAAAGCCCCGGGCUUAACCUGGGAAUUGCAUUUCAGACUGGGUAACUAGAGUACUUUAGGGAGGGGUAGAAUUCCACGUGUAGCGGUGAAAUGCGUAGAGAUGUGGAGGAAUACCGAAGGCGAAGGCAGCCCCUUGGGAAUGUACUGACGCUCAUGUGCGAAAGCGUGGGGAGCAAACAGGAUUAGAUACCCUGGUAGUCCACGCUGUAAACGCUGUCGAUUUGGGGAUUGGGCUUAAAGCUUGGUGCCCGUAGCUAACGUGAUAAAUCGACCGCCUGGGGAGUACGGCCGCAAGGUUA